GUGCUCUCUUUGGCAGCAUAUAUACUAAAAUUAGAACAAUACAGAAAAGAUUAGCAUGGCCCCUGCCCAAGGAUGACACACAAAUUCCUGAAGCAUUCCAUAUUUAA
ensembl:snRNA U6 U6 spliceosomal RNA